AGACAGAAUGUCGUGGUCGCUCGUUCACUCCAAACAGAAGUUCACCUUUAACACUCACUGUUGACUGGCAGACAAUAAAGGUUCAGGAGCUGAUGUCAGGUGACCAGCGUGAGUCCGGUCGAAUCCCGCGCACCAUUGAAUGUGAGCUCACGCAGGACCUCGUGGACAGCUGUGUGCCUGGAGACAUGGUCACCAUCACAGGGGUCAUUAAAGUGUCCAAUGAAGAGGG